rnacentral:rRNA from 1 species
ACCCGUCUUGUAACACGGACCAAGGAGUCUAGUACCUGUGCAAAUCAAGAGUCUUUAUACCUCUAGGUGUAAUGAAAGUGACUGCUGGGAUCUUUGCACCAGCGACCAGCCUGUACAUGAUACAACUCUGAGUUUGAGCACAAUUACUAGGACCCGAAAGGUGGUGAACUAUGCCUGUGAAGAGCGAAGCCAGGGGAAACUCUGGUGGAGGACCGUAGCGAUUCUGACGUGCAAAUCGAUCGUCAAAUUUGGGUAUAGGGGCGAAAGACUAAUCGAACUAUCUAGUAGCUGGUUCCCUCCGAAGUUUCCCUCAGGAUAGCUGGAGCUUGUGCAGUUUUAUCGGGUAAAGCGAAUGAUUAGAGGUUUGGGGGCUGAAACAGCCUUCGCCUAUUCUCAAACUUUAAAUAGGUAAGCUCUGGGUUACUUAAUUGAACCUAGGGGUGUAAUGAGAGCUCCAUGUGGGCCAUUUUUGGUAAGCAGAACUGGCGAUGCGGGAUGAACCGAAAGCCGGGUUAAAGUGCCAAACUGCGCGCUAACCUAG